CGCCACUCACGCGGAGCCAAUCGGAACUCGCGGCGGGGCUGCUGGGUCUUCCAGGAGCGCGCAUGAGCGGACGCUGCCUACCGGUGGCCGGGCGGGAUGUAACCGGCUGCUGAGCUGGCAGUUCUGUGUCGCUAGGCUUCGGCCCGGCCGCCGCCGCACAUAAGCUGCGAGGAGGAGCUUUACGACUUCCCGGUCUUCGGGGCCGGGCGCAGCAAGGGCCAGACUCUGCGCUAGCAGGCGCUGCGCGCCAACCGGCCGGCACCUGUCGCAGAAGGUGCAACCGAUCGCACUGUCGUGCAGAAGCUCCUCAAUGGCCAGCGCCAGCUGCAGCCCCGGCUGCCCACUCGCCUCACCUGAGCCUGGGAGUUUGAAAAAUCACAUUUGAGAAGAGGAUUGGAUCCUAGCCAUAACAUAAAUAUAAGGGUGGAACAAUCCAAAGUUUUAAUCAAAGAAGGUGGUGUUCGGUUGCUGCUUACAAUAGUUGAUACC
rnacentral:lncRNA from 1 species